UAUAAGUAUACGUAUAGCUGAUUCACUUUGUUAUACAGCAGAAACUAGCACAACAAUGUAAAGCAAUUAUACUCCAAUAAAGAUGGUAAAAAAAAAUAGGCUGAAUAUUAGUAAUAUAGCUAGUAACAUUAAUAAGGUCAUAAGUAAGUAUUUAAGCUAAGAACUUCUACUAGGUGCCACCCAGUGUAUCCCCAGGUCACCUGACCCAGUCUGUUCUGUACUAAUCGUGGACCAAUAGUGGACAUUUAAAUUGCUUCCAAUUCUUAGGUUUAUGGAUGAACCACUGGGAAUAUUUUAGUACAAAUACUUUUUUUUGGAGGGUGGGAUUAUUCUGUUUGAGUGUUUCCUCAGGCUAGAAUUACUAGAUAAAAAUAUAGAAACAGUAUUAUUGUUGCUAGCUUGCUCUCUGGAAGGAUUGAUCUAAUUUGCACUGCCACUGUCAGUGAAUGAGUUCACUUUCCCCAUCAUAUUCCUGCUAAUAGUGCUGUAUCAAUUUUUUUAAACUAUAAGCUAUAUAUUAUAACAAAUUCAUUUUAUUUCAUAUUUCCUUAACUGCUAGUGAGGCUGUGUAUCUUUGCAUAUUGUAUUUUCUUAUCUUUAUUUUAUUUUAUUUUUUAAAUUUGUCUCUUUAGCACCUUUGGCUGCAUAUAAAGGAAAAUAAGGGCAUUAGUCCUAUAUAUAUACAACUGUCUCUAUAUAUUUGGAAUUGUAAACUGCCCUAAUAAUCUCUUAAUUUAUUUCCCCAUCCUCUGCCUUUCUCCACUGCAAUCAAUGCAUCAAGUUUAUAACUAGAAUAACUUUUUAAAAAUAAAGUUCCAAUCUUCCAAAGCUUCAGCUCAAAAAAUCUUCAAUCACCUGCCAAGCAAGUAUAAAUCUGUCAGUUGGACCUUCAUGACCCUCUUCAACAUGGUCCCACAGGGACUUUUCAGGCUUUUGUCUUUCCCCUUGGCCAAAUUAAAUGUUUAGUGUUCCCAGAGAGCUCUGCGUGCCUUUGUGCCACUAGCUCUUUGCUCGUCCUAUCCUCUGUAGCUGAGCCAUUUACAGAGAAAGCACAAUGAGGGUCUGAGCCCAAAGCCACAGAACCAGUAUAUGGCAGGGGCAAUAUAUGUAAUAUUGUUUAGCAAUUGUUUCAGAGUUCCAAUUUGCGAAGGCUUGGACUCAUUUCCAGCAAUAAUCAAGGGACAACUUUGCUUCAAGCAUAAAGGACUUCAACAUCGUAAUUAUAUUUUAAUACCACAUUAGUCAAUUAAUUUGCGUAUAUGAAAAGACUGGGAAGACCCAGCUUUGGUUAUGUAUCUCCCUCUAACUUCUUAGUUAUUAAUUUCUGAUGUUUUAUCUUUAAGCAGUUUUUUAAUACUCUUUAACAUAUUUUGCGUCUAUGUAGAUCAUAACAUUCAUGAAAUUAAUAAUUCAGAAACCAUUUUGGUCAUUUGGUGAUCAGAGCUCUAUCCACCUCUCUGCCAUUCCUUUCUCCUCCCCUGCUUGCAAAUGCACUUAGGGACACUACCAAUCAACUGUGUCUCCAUGCUGGGAAACCUUGGGGUUGCUUUUAAAUCCCGUCUUCUCCUUCAUCCCUUCGUCUAAUCAGGCAUUUUCCCCUCCUAGGCAUUUCCGGAGGUUGCAUUAUCUUAGCUGUGACCAACAGGGCAGUCCAGGUUGCAGGCUUGUGGCUGCUCACCUAGACUAUAACCACAGCCUCCCUCCCUCCUUGCUUUGCUCUAUUUAAGCCUUUCCUCCACACAGAUACCAGAGAAAUCUAUCUGAAAUGGUAGUGUGCUGUGCCACUCCCUGGCUUAACGUUUACUGCUGCCUGUUGCCUACCGGCUGAGUGCAGGCUCCUUGACAGGGCAUCUGAGACCUUCUUUCAUGACUUCAUCUUUGCCCACCUCUCCAGCUUUAUCUCCUCCCCUCUUUUUAAACCUCCUGCCUCAAGUCAUAUGCUGGAACAACCUGAAAUGCUUGUGUUUCUCUAAGGACCACAUGCAGUUUAUUGCUUCCAUCCCUUUGUUCCUUUUGUUAUUCUGCUUGCAAUGCCUCUUUCCUGAUUUUCCACUUAAUACAUUAGUAUGCAUCCUAUAGGGGCAGCUCAGGUAUACCCUCCCUAGGAAGCCUUUCCCCACCAAUACUGUUGGUCUGGUGUUCUCUUGUGCUUCCUCACAAGUGUACUCUGUGCCUCUCUUUAUCACGUGAGUUCCUUUUACGUAGUGAUCAUGUCUUAUUUAUCUUUGGACCCCUAGGACUUAGUUCCGUGCUUGGUACAGAGUAAAUGCUCAGUAAAUACCAGAUGAAUAAAUGAAUUGUGCAUAUCCUGAAAAUCCACAGUAUUUUGUUUUGAGAAAAUUCUUUUGACACUAUUGUUUCUAUAUGUAUCCUAUUAGCUUUAAAUAGUAUUUUCCAUAAUAUUCUUACAUUUAUAGAAUUAAUUUCCUUUUGAAAAAGUAUUUUGGUUUAAAGGGGAUGAAAAGAACCGCCCCAAAAGAAGGCUAAAUGCCCUGUAUAUUUAUUGCCUAAAUCCUUGAUUGACCCUGUGGAUUCUCUAUGUUAUGUGUAUGGAAGUCGUUUUUAAAAUAUUUAAUUUAAUUUUUAUUUUCUGAUAGAGCCUAAUAUAUGCUAAAAACAGGACAGUUAAGCUUCAGAUAAGGUUUGAUUGCCCAUAACUUGGGAAACUAACUUGGAAUAAAAUAUAUUCUUGAAAAAAGAUAAUGGCUUCACUAAAAAACUAAAUGUGUUGGGAUGAGCCUGCACUACACAGAAAUGACCUGGGAGAACUGCACGAUGCACUGUCACCACAGUCUUAGUGCUGCCACGACAGUGAUGGAUUGAAGCAUUUUGCCUAAAAAACUCUAGGUACUGGAAUUUGUUUAGUUUGUUUUGGGGGCUAACCAGUAUGUGGCAAUAUUGAUUACUCUAAAUCAAUUUUAUGUCAUGUGCUUCUGUCUCUAAAGCUAAAUUUUAUAAAACUAAGUAUUAUUCAUACUGUUAAGCAAAAAGUAAAAUUUGUAGUGUUACAACAUUCAAGUAAUCUACAGUGUUUUCUAACAUCUGCUAAAACAUUGAAUUAUUUUGAGCAUUAUGUGUAUCUUCAAGGUGUAGUAACAAUUACUUCUAUAGCAAAGGGAUUUAACAGGCAUUUUCUUGUAAAUCUAGAUAUGGACAACUAUUGAAAAUUUUCUGACGUGUUUGAUGUUCAUUUCCCUUAGAAUGUGUUACUUUGCUGAAACCAGAUUCAAAGGCUAGCUUGAUUGAUCCCCUGCAAGAUACACUUGAAGGUUAAGUAACUACAGAUCUCAUCUAAUCCCGUGUAAUCUGCUGUUACUAAAUGGCCGUUUGUAUUCUUGGCACACCAGUUUCUGAAUGCUUAGGAUUUGGUUUUUACCUUUUGUCCAAAUAACGCCUAAAAGGAACCAUGCGUCUCUUUGCAAGUCUGUGCAUUGCGCUUGGCUUUUUGGAAAGAGUGAGCUGUUCGUGUCCUUCACAGUGCACCUGUGAUUAUCAUGGCAGAAAUGACGGCAUGAGAUCAAGGUCUGUGCUAUGUAGUGACCUGGAUAUGAACGAGGUACCUACAAACUUCCCCGUGGACACUGUGAAGCUUCGCAUAGAGAAGACCGUUGUCCAUAGGAUCCCCGCCGAGGCCUUCUACUACCUGGUGGAGCUCCAGUACCUCUGGUUGACCUAUAAUUCUGUGGCCAGCCUUGACACCAGCAGCUUUUACAACCUAAAGCAGCUGCAUGAGUUGCGCUUGGAUGGAAAUUCUCUGGCUGCUUUCCCUUGGACAUCUCUGAGGGACAUGCCUCGUCUGAGGACCCUGGAUUUGCACAAUAACAGAAUAACCAGUGUGCCAAACGAGGCGGUCACGUAUCUGAAGAACCUUGCCUACUUGGAUUUAUCAAGCAACAGAUUAACCACACUGCCGCCAGAUUUCCUGGACAGCUGGUCCCACUUAGUUACAGCAUCAUCCAGAAGCCUGGACCUUUCAGCAAGAAGAAUUAUUCUUGGCCUGCAGGACAACCCAUGGUUCUGUGACUGUCACAUUUCCAAAAUAAUGGCAUUGUCAAAAGUUGCUGACCCUGUGGUAGUACUUCUCGACCCACUGAUGGUUUGUAGUGAACCGGAACGCCUCACAGGGAUUUCGUUUCAGCGGGCUGAGCUGGAGCAGUGUCUGAAGCCAUCAGUGAUGACCUCGGCCACCCAGAUCACAUCUGCUCUGGGCAGUAAUGUUCUGCUGCGGUGUGAUGCCACUGGCUACCCUACCCCGCAGCUCACCUGGACCAGACCAGACAGCUCGCCAGUUAAUUAUACAGUAAUUCAGGAAUCUCCAGGGGAGGGAGUCAGAUGGUCCAUAAUAAGCUUGACAGGCGUUUCUUACAUGGAUGCUGGGGAUUACAAAUGUAAGGCCAAAAAUUUGGCUGGGAUGUCAGAAGCUGUGGUUACUGUGACAGUGGUUGGUGUUGUCAUGACCACCGUAUCAUCAGAAACUUCUGAAAGAAGAACUGGGGACCACCCUGAGCAAGAGGUCCAGCUGGGAUCUAGAACAUCUGCAAAUCUACCUGGUUCAUCAUCGUCUCCCUGGCCUUAUUCCUCCUCUUCUUCCUUCCCAGCUUCUUCCACUUUUCUUCCUACUUCUACUUCAUCGCCUCCCUCCACUGCUUCCUUCUCCUUAUCUCCUUUCUUCUCCUCCAUUGUUUCUUCAGCCACAACUCCCAGCACUAGAAUAUCUACAAGCACUACCAUGGCCAGCCGUCAGUCACUCCACCCAGAUGGGAAAAGAAAUGUCAAGGUGGAGAUGGGUAGCGGUAAGCUUCCCCCAGCUAGUGCAAGUAAAAGAGAAGAGUUGGCAUUGUUGGAUCAAGCCCUGCCGAUGGAAACGAAUGCCACAAUAGAAAAUCUUCAGGUAGUCAGUGAAACCGAAGAAAGCGUGAUCUUGAUGUGGAACACCAUUAACACCACGCAGAAUUUGGAAGUGACUGUGUUGUAUUCCAAGUAUGGUGAGAAGGACCUGCUACUGCUUAAUGCAGACUCCAGCAAGAACCAAGUCACCAUAAGUGGCUUGUUGCCUGGUUGGCAAUAUAUAGCAUGUGUCUGUCCAAAAGGAAUGCCUCCCCAGAAAGACCAAUGUAUCACCUUUUCUACUGACAGAGUUGAAGAAGAAGGUGAUUCUCAAGGGUCUUUCCUUAUGGUGGUGAGUGGUGCUGCCUGUGUUGUUGUCUUGCCAUUGAUUUUUUUCCUGUUGUACAAAGUUUGCAAACUUCGGUGUAAGUCAGACUCCCUCUGGGAAGAUGAUUUGGCGAAAGAGACUUAUAUCCAAUUUGAAACGCUGUCCCCCAGGUCUCAAAGUGUAGGGGAACUUUGGACGCGAAGGCCCAGAGACGAUUCAGAAAAAUUGCUGCUUUGCUCUAAGUCAAGUGUGGAAUCUCAUGACUUUUAAAAGCGAGGGUUCUAGAGCAGAGUAUUAUUGCUAAGGUUUUACAGCUCAGGCAAAUGUGAGCUCCACAAAAUUUCUUUCACAAAAUUAAAGAUCUAAGAGUAUAUAGUUGCCCCUCUGUUUGGAUGACUUUUGGACACUUUCAUAUCCUUCAUGAAAAUCACAAAUGGAGUGCUUUUAAGUGUGCUUUAAAAAAGUCACGAGACUUCUGAACUGAAAAGACAAAUAAUUUUGAUUUUUGUUGUGGAGAAAAUGUCCACAGAAAUAAUUUUCAAGAAAAUAUUCAGGUAGCCAAAGGACCACAGCUAAAGUGUUUGUCUUUUGCCAUGUUAUAUUUUGAUUACCUGGAUAGAGGGAAGAACUUUGAAAGUCUUUUAGAUCCCAAAAGGAUGUUUUAGGAUUUUGAAAGAGCAAAUUCAGUGGAUUUAUUUAGUCAAACUCUACGUUAAAAACAUCAGGGAAAUUGAAUUGGAGUGGGUCACGUGAUUAGAUAGGAAAGGGGCUUCAUAAAUAAAAUUUAGUUUUUUAAAAGAAGUUUUUUUUCACCAUAUUAACUAAAGAUUAUAUUCCCUUUACAUUGAAGAUUUUGGAGUGUAGAACAGAUUUAUACAGGUGUGUCAGGAGUCCUGAAAUAUGCUGAGAAGCAAGUUCUAUAUUUUAUAUAAGAAACAAAUUGGCUUUAAUUUGUUUGUACCACAUUGUGGAAAUUAUAACACAAGCAGCUGGAGAAUGAAAAACUGCUCAUUCCAAAUGGCUUUUAAUUAAAAGAAAAAGAGAAUUCUAGUUUAGCCGUAAUCUGCAUAUUAGAAGAAGACAAGCAUGGAGGGAUGGCCUGCUCAGAACUUCCAAACUUCCCCUUCUUGUCUCCUUUCCUUUCCUUUCCAGCCUCUUUGUCCUUGGUGCUUUUAUCACUAUGUGCAUUGUCUAAUGAUCUAACAGUUUUUAAUUCAGUAUUCAUUGUUAGGAUUUUUUGUUUGAAAAAUACCUUUUUUAAAAAAAUUUUUUUUAAUUUUUUUGUGGUACGCGGGCCUCUCACUGUUGUGGCCUCUCCCGUUGCGGAGCACAGGCUCCGGACGCGCAGGCUCAGCGGCCAUGGCUCACGGGCCUAGCCGCUCCGCGACACGUGGGACCCUCCCGGACCGGGGCACGAACCCGUGUCCCCUGCAUCGGCAGGCGGACGCUCAACCACUGCGCCACCAGGGAAGCCCGAAAAAUACCUUUUAAAGACAGUUUUGUGUUUAACUUCAACUUAUGUUAGAUAAUUUAUUUUAAAUUUAAUGAUUACAAAAAUGUGCAUUUCUUUACUCUAAAGACAGCAUGGAAUUUCAUUGCCAUAUUUAAAAGGCUCAUAUAAACAGACUGCCAAAAUACUACCGCAUUAGAAAUAGUGUGGGAGAAUGUUACAGACUACUGAGCCAAAAGACAUCCAAAUUGUACGAAGGCAGGUUAUUUGUCAAGAAAGGAGACUUGGACCAUCCUAAUGAGAUAAAUUACUGACUGCUCUCAUAAUUAAAGUCAAGUGAAGCCUGGACUUAAUUUUGCCUAGUGAGGAAAAGGUAAUUGGUGGUGUGAAGGGGAUAGGAACAGCAGGAGAAAGCACCUUUGUCAUCCUCAACUUGGACUUGGCACAUGAGAUGGGUUUUUAAGCUGAAUAUGGAGAACAAAUUAUGAGAAGUGGGAAUUUCAGCCCACGAUAGAUAAGGGAUUAGUGAACUAACUCCAAGGUAUUUAAAAUGAGGCCAGAUAUAUUAGGUACCAGGGUGGUAACAGAAUUUUCAGCCAUAAUCUCAGAGCGACUGUUUUUGAAAAGUAUUUGAAAAGUCAUGACAAAUAGGAGAAAUACUGCAAGACCACAGAUAGGUAAGUUUCAUCUUUAUUUUUAAAGAGGGGACUAGGGUAGAUUCUGGAAAUUAUAGACAACUUGAUUCAUGUUUACAGAUUUGACAGUAGGUUGUUAAAAGACUUGUUUUUGAGCAUGCAGAAAUGAAUGUUAUGGUCAUUAGGAGCCAACAAAUGUCAGCCUAGGAAAAGGUUUGAUAAACUAAAAUGGUUUAUUUUUAGGUUACUAAGCUGAUAGAUAAAGGACUGCUUGAAAAUCGAAUAGCAGCUAGUUACUGGUGUUUGUUUUGAUUUGUUGGAGUAAUAUAAGUUGCCUCCUCUCAAUAAUGUCUAGAAAUGGCUUUAUAUAUUAUGAAAAAUUUUCUAGUAGAAUGCCCUUACCCUAUUCAGUUCAGUAUUUUUAUAAGUGACUGGAUGAACAUAGGCUUCUCAACUCUGCAGAGGACAUGAAAGUAAACAGGGUAUCUUAUUUUGGUGCUUCUCAAACUUUUCCUUGGAAUAUUCCUAAUUGAAGGGGAAAGUAAAACUGUAUGUCUGGAGAGACCAGGGCAAUUGUCCUAAGUGUCUGGCAGAAGAGAGAUAUUUCUGUGAAUUAUUCUGUCUUAAUUAAAAACCAUGUGAAUUUGCAUUCUAUGGCAUAAUUUUUAAAAAUAUAAAAUAACUCUCCCUCUCUCAUUUCUUUAGGGAAAAUUGACAUUUCUGUGCCUUUGAACAUCUUGGUACAGAGUACCCCAGAGAUACUCUCCUUAUCUUCACCCAAGUCAAUUAUAAAAACCAGAUAGAAUAGGGUAAAGGACAUAUUUGAGGAUAUUUGAAUUUGCAUAUAAGAACUGAAUUAUAUUUAAAAAAAUAGGGUAAAGGACAGAGACCUGUGGCUUUCUAUUAGAGACUAUUUCAUGCAGUAUGAAACCAUCAGUGAACAUAUUUAUAUGAUAGGUGAAGGAACCAAAUCUUGAAAAUUACCUUAAUAAGAUGGCAUAUUAAAGCUAACAGGGAUAAAUGAAAAUUUUGUGUUUGGAUUAGAAUAAAUAUGGGCGUUCAAGUAAAAAAAAAAAUCUGUGACUUUAGUUGAUUACAAUCAUUCUAUGAACCAAUAGAGUUAUGUACAGUAAUUGCUAAAAAUGCUAGUGUUAAGUUACUUCAAUCUAAGUAAUAGAUCAAGGAAGGUAAGAGUUCUGCUGUAUUCUACAUUAACAGACCAUUUCUACAGGAUCAGGUUUAAUUUCGGAUGCCAAAUUUAAAUAAUUAUGGACCUUGAUAACAACUAUGGACUAUCCAUAGGAAGGUACCUAAGAUCACCAAGCAUGUGGAAAUUUUAUCAUGCAAGAAAGGGUUAAGGACUGGAGCAGGCUGUGGGGAGACCAGGCUAGCUUAGUGCAGCCCAAGGCACUAACUCUUUCCCUGGAGGACUAUGCUUAGGAGCGGCUGCUUAGGUUGUUAAAAUGGAGGCUACUGGGUUCUACAGGUAGAAAUUCAAAUUCAGCAGCCUGGGGCCUUGGAAACCGCAAUUUGACACUCAACCCAGGGGAAUGAUGCAGGUGAUGUAAUGACUUUGAGAAACACUGUUCUACGCAAUGGAUACAGAAGCAAUACUGCAAUUACAAAGAAGGAGAAUGGCUCCACGUUAAAAACAAACAACUUCUUUUUUUGCCAACAACCAGAGUUAGAAAACAGUGGAGUGCCAACAACCAGAGUUAGAAAACAGUGGAGUAAGACGUGUUAUUAUAAUAUUACUCAGGAUGUUCAUGGAUAUUCCAGAAGUCAGGAGUGAUGCAAAGACACAGUGAAGGACAUUGUGGACUAAAAGUUCAAUCAUUUGGACUAUAGCAGAAAGAAAUGAAAAUGAAUAAAAUUGUAUCUUUUGGUUUCAGUGGAAAGAGAAUGCUAACAUUUGUAUUAAGU